rnacentral:miRNA from 1 species
CCACCUUGCUUGGUAUCUAUCAGA